GACGUAGGGCGCGAGCGUUGUCCGGAUUUAUUGGGCGUAAAGGGCUCGUAGGCGGCCAACUAAGUCAGACGUGAAAUCCCUCGGCUUAACCGGGGAACUGCAUCUGAUACUGGAUGGCUUGAGUUCGGGAGAGGGAUGCGGAAUUCCAGGUGUAGCGGUGAAAUGCGUAGAUAUCUGGAGGAACACCGGUGGCGAAGGCGGCAUCCUGGACCGACACUGACGCUGAGGAGCGAAAGCCAGGGGAGCAAGCGGG
rnacentral:rRNA from 1 species